CUACGGGGGGCAGCAGCUGAGGAAAUUUUACAAUGCUCGAAAGAGUGAUAAAAUAAACCAGAGUGUUUCUCUUAGAGAAACUUUUGUUUGCUGUAAAAAGGCAGACGAAUAAGGACUGGGCAAGACCGGUGCCAGCCGCCGCGGUAAUACCGGCGGUCCAAGUUGCAUCCACAUUUAUUGGGUCUAAAACAUCCGUAGCUUGUUUUAUAAGUCUCUUGUGAAAUCUUAUGUCUCAAACAUAAGGCGUGCAAGAGAUACUGCAUUACUAGAGACCGGAAGACACAAAGAGUAUGAUUGAGGUAGCGGUAAAAUGUGUUAAUCUCAAUUAGACUAACAACGGCGAAGGCACUUUGCGAGUACGGAUCUGACAGUGAGGGAUGAAGGCUAGGGUCGCGAAAGGGAUUAGAUACCCUUGUAGUC
rnacentral:rRNA from 1 species